AUUGAACGCUGGCGGCAUGCUUUACACAUGCAAGUCGGACGGCAGCACAGAGAAGCUUGCUUCUUGGGUGGCGAGUGGCGAACGGGUGAGUAAUAUAUCGGAACGUACCGAGUAAUGGGGGAUAACUAAUCGAAAGAUUAGCUAAUACCGCAUAUUCUCUGAGGAGGAAAGCAGGGGACCUUCGGGCCUUGCGUUAUUCGAGCGGCCGAUAUCUGAUUAGCUAGUUGGUGGGGUAAAGGCCUACCAAGGCGACGAUCAGUAGCGGGUCUGAGAGGAUGAUCCGCCACACUGGGACUGAGACACGGCCCAGACUCCUACGGGAGGCAGCAGUGGGGAAUUUUGGACAAUGGGCGCAAGCCUGAUCCAGCCAUGCCGCGUGUCUGAAGAAGGCCUUCGGGUUGUAAAGGACUUUUGUCAGGGAAGAAAAGGCUGUUGCUAAUACCGACAGCUGAUGACGGUACCUGAAGAAUAAGCACCGGCUAACUACGUGCCAGCAGCCGCGGUAAUACGUAGGGUGCGAGCGUUAAUCGGAAUUACUGGGCGUAAAGCGAGCGCAGACGGUUACUUAAGCAGGAUGUGAAAUCCCCGGGCUCAACCUGGGAACUGCGUUCUGAAAUGGGUGACUAGAGUGUGUCAGAUGGAGGUAGCAUUCCACGUGUAGCAGUGAAAUGCGUGAGAUGUGGAGGAAUACCGAUGGCGACGACAGCCUCCUGGGAUACAUUGACGUUUCUGCUCGAAACGAGAGUAGCAACAGA
rnacentral:rRNA from 1 species